AAAAGUUUUUUCAAGGAACUUAGAUUUACCAACUAUUAUUGCUAAUACUAGUAAUAAUCAUGUCAAUAUUCAUUGGGGCCGUACUUCUGAGUAUACAUGUACGAGUAAACUCAACGAAUCGAUUAAAAAAAAUAAAAAAAGAUAUUAUAAACCACUAUCAAAUAUAUUAAAUGUUUAUUUUAUAUACACAACUGUUCAUAAGAAACCUAAAAAAUUAUUAAAAAGUAAAACUACAUUAAACUACGAUAAUUUAAAACAUAAAAACAUAUUAACAGUUUGUAUGAACAAUAGAAAAAUUUCCAGUCUUAACAAUAAGCGUACUACACAUUUGUUUGUUAACACAUGUAUAUCAUGUAAUAAUACUAAAGAUAUUAACAACAACAAAAAAAAUGAUAUAACUGAAGAUUCUCAACACGGUAGAACAUGUGUCGAGUGUAAAUGUUGUAACAAUUUUAAUAAAGGGAGCGAAAUGAUUGAUACUGGAAAUGAUGGCAGUGGUAGUAGCAGUAAUGGUAGCACUAGCAAUAGUAGCAGUAACGGUAGCACUAGCAAUAGUAGCAGUAAUGGUAUCACUAGUAAUAGUAGNNNNNNNNNNAGUAGUGCUCUGCCUUUAAGAAAAGUUUUUUCAAGGAACUUAGAUUUACCAACUAUUAUUGCUAAUACUAGUAAUAAUCAUGUCAAUAUUCAUUGGGGCCGUACUUCUGAGUAUACAUGUACGAGUAAACUCAACGAAUCGAUUAAAAAAAAUAAAAAAAGAUAUUAUAAACCACUAUCAAAUAUAUUAAAUGUUUAUUUUAUAUACACAACUGUUCAUAAGAAACCUAAAAAAUUAUUAAAAAGUAAAACUACAUUAAACUACGAUAAUUUAAAACAUAAAAACAUAUUAACAGUUUGUAUGAACAAUAGAAAAAUUUCCAGUCUUAACAAUAAGCGUACUACACAUUUGUUUGUUAACACAUGUAUAUCAUGUAAUAAUACUAAAGAUAUUAACAACAACAAAAAAAAUGAUAUAACUGAAGAUUCUCAACACGGUAGAACAUGUGUCGAGUGUAAAUGUUGUAACAAUUUUAAUAAAGGGAGCGAAAUGAUUGAUACUGGAAAUGAUGGCAGUGGUAGUAGCAGUAAUGGUAGCACUAGCAAUAGUAGCAGUAACGGUAGCACUAGCAAUAGUAGCAGUAAU
rnacentral:lncRNA from 1 species